GACUCCUUUGUUUUUGUUAAGUCCAUUAACAAAAGGCUAUUUCAAGUUAUCAAACUGAGCUCCUACCUCAACAAUGAGCUAACUACUGCUACCAGUUGCUGAAAGAUGGCAGUGAUUUCCAACUUUUUGAAAAUCCCUUUUGAAUGGAUGAAUGGGCUUGAACUUGUUGCUUUCCGGAGAAAAAAAGAAAUUUGCUUCCAGCUGUG